GAUGAACGCUGGCGGCGUGCCUAAUACAUGCAAGUCGAGCGAACGGACGAGAAGCUUGCUUCUCUGAUGUUAGCGGCGGACGGGUGAGUAACACGUGGAUAACCUACCUAUAAGACUGGGAUAACUUCGGGAAACCGGAGCUAAUACCGGAUGAUAUUUUGAACCGCAUGGUUCAAAAGUGAAAGACGGUCUUGCUGUCACUUAUAGAUGGAUCCGCGCUGCAUUAGCUAGUUGGUAAGGUAACGGCUUACCAAGGCAACGAUGCAUAGCCGACCUGAGAGGGUGAUCGGCCACACUGGAACUGAGACACGGUCCAGACUCCUACGGGAGGCAGCAGUAGGGAAUCUUACGCAAUGGGCAAAAGCCUGACGGAGCAACGCCGCGUGAGUGAUGAAGGUCUUCGGAUCGUAAAACUCUGUUAUUAGGGAAGAACAUAUGUGUAAGUAACUGUGCACAUCUUGACGGUACCUAAUCAGAAAGCCACGGCUAACUACGUG
rnacentral:rRNA from 1 species